UCUUCCCUCUUGCUUCGUGCCUAAUACAUGCAAGUCGAGCGAACAGACGAGGAGCUUGCUCCUCUGACGUUAGCGGCGGACGGGUGAGUAACACGUGGAUAACCUACCUAUAAGACUGGGAUAACUUCGGGAAACCGGAGCUAAUACCGGAUAAUAUAUUGAACCGCAUGGUUCAAUAGUGAAAGACGGUUUUGCUGUCACUUAUAGAUGGAUCCGCGCCGCAUUAGCUAGUUGGUAAGGUAACGGCUUACCAAGGCAACGAUGCGUAGCCGACCUGAGAGGGUGAUCGGCCACACUGGAACUGAGACACGGUCCAGACUCCUACGGGAGGCAGCAGUAGGGAAUCUUCCGCAAUGGGCGAAAGCCUGACGGAGCAACGCCGCGUGAGUGAUGAAGGUCUUCGGAUCGUAAAACUCUGUUAUUAGGGAAGAACAAAUGUGUAAGUAACUAUGCACGUCUUGACGGUACCUAAUCAGAAAGCCACGGCUAACUACGUG
rnacentral:rRNA from 1 species